rfam:Kluyvera intermedia strain CAV1151, complete genome.
AAUAGGCUUUCAGCGUUCUCUGGCAGAGUGCGGAGCGGACGCAAUCGUCUGUGGUGAAACGCACCACCCCUACCAUCUCAUCUUCCUCAAAACGCGACAGCGCGUCGCUCAGACCGGACUGCACCCCGCGGGGCAAGUCACACUGAGUCACAUCACCGUUGACGAUGACCGUCACAUUUUCCCCGAGGCGCGUU